rnacentral:rRNA from 1 species
UGAGUAACACGUGUCCAACCUGCCGUCUACUCUUGGCCAGCCUUCUGAAAGGAAGAUUAAUCCAGGAUGGCAUCAUGAGUUCACAUGUCCGCAUGAUUAAAGGUAUUUUCCGGUAGACGAUGGGGAUGCGUUCCAUUAGAUAGUAGGCGGGGUAACGGCCCGCCUAGUCAACGAUGGAUAGGGGUUCUGAGAGGAAGGUCCCCCACAUUGGAACUGAGACACGGUCCAA